rnacentral:rRNA from 1 species
AAUUGUAAUUUGUAGAGGAUGCUUUUGGUGCGGCGCCUUCCGAGUUCCCUGGAACGGGACGCCAGAGAGGGUGAGAGCCCCGUACGGUUGGAUACCUAGCCUCUAUAUAGCUCCUUCGACGAGUCGGGUAGUUUGGGAAUGCUGCUCUAAACGGGAGGUAAAUUUCUUCUAAAGCUAAAUACCGGCCAGAGACCGAUAGCGCACAAGUAGAGUGAUCGAAAGAUGAAAAGCACUUUGAAAAGAGGGUUAAAUAGCACGUGAAAUUGUUGAAAGGGAAGCGUUUGCGACCAGACCUUUUCCGGGCGGAUCAUCCGGUGUUCUCACCGGUGCACUUCGCCCGGUUUAGGCCAGCAUCGGUUUUCGUAGGGGGAUAAAGGCCUGGGGAACGUAUCUCCUUCGGGAGUGUUAUAGCCCCUCGCGUAAUACCCUUACGGGGACCGAGGACCGCGCUCUGCAAGGAUGCUGGCGUAAUGGUCGUCAACGACCCGUCUUGAAACACGGACCAAGGAGUCGAACAUUUGUGCGAGUGUUUGGGUGUUAAACCCUCACGCGUAAUGAAAGUGAACGGAGGUGAGAGCCCUUCGGGGUGCAUCAUCGACCGAUCCUGAUGUCUUCGGAUGGAUUUGAGUAAGAGCAUAACUGUUCGGACCCGAAAGAUGGUGAACUAUGCGUGGAUAGGGUGAAGCCAGAGGAAACUCUGGUGGAGGCUCGCAGCGGUUCUGACGUGCAAAUCGAUCGUCAAAUCUGCGCAUGGGGGCGAAAGACUUAUCGAACCAUCUAGUAGCUGGUUACCGCCGAAGUUUCCCUCAGGAUAGCAGUGUUGUUUUCAGUUUUAUGAGGUAAAGCGAAUGAUUAGGGACUCGGGGGCGCUUUAUUGCCUCAUCCAUUCUCAAACUUUAAAUAUGU